GUUAUUCACAAGUGGCUCCAGUCUGGUUUGGGGGUCUACGCUUUCUCAUCCUGUCCUGCCACCCAAGUGAAGUUAUUCACAAGUGGCUCCAGUCUGGUUUGGGGGUCUACGCUUUCUCAUCCUGUCCUGCCACCCAAGUGAAGUUAUUCACAAGUGGCUCCAGUCUGGUUUGGGGGUCUACGCUUUCUCAUCCUGUCCUGAGUGAUUCUUGACAUUGAAAUUAUAUCAAAAUUUGUCAAUAAAUGUUCAUACUUUUGUCAUUAA